CAGCCGCCACGGGAAUACGAAGGGGGCUAGCGUUGCUCGGAAUUACUGGGCGUAAAGGGAGCGUAGGCGGACAUUUAAGUCAGGGGUGAAAUCCCAGAGCUCAACUCUGGAACUGCCUUUGAUACUGGGUGUCUUGAGUGUGAUAGAGGUAUGUGGAACUCCGAGUGUAGAGGUGAAAUUCGUAGAUAUUCGGAAGAACACCAGUGGCGAGGGCGACAUACUGGAUCAUUACUGACGCUGAGGCUCGAAAGCGUGGGGAGCAAACAGGAUUAGAUACCCCCGUAGUCCCUGUCUCUUAUAC
rnacentral:rRNA from 1 species